GGGGCUGCCCUGGUUUCGACGUGGACUCGGAGCCGAUGUGGUGCAUGUCGAGCUUGAAUAGCGCUCGUAAAUCUGUAUUCAACAAACUAACUGCAAACGACGAACGUUUCGCACUCGCCGCUUAAUACCGGUGAGCCUUGCAACAGCACGCUGAUGGGCUGGGCAAGGGGGUCGUAAGACCUCCCGGCUGCAAGGGAAUUCACAUCAGCUGGCCUUCUGCCGGGCACCUUGGCGGAGGGCGAGAUCCAAGGGGGCUGGCUUCCGGUGGAGCGUGCGACUGCGCGCCACCGGGGGCGAGAUCCAAAACAGACCGCUAAACAUGUAGAUCUGCUCGGUAAAGGUUUGCGGACGCGGGUUCGAUUCCCGCCAGCUCCACCA
rnacentral:tmRNA from 1 species